rnacentral:rRNA from 1 species
CGAAGGAAGUUCGAGGCAAUAACAGGUCUGUGAUGCCCUUAGAUGUCCUGGGCCGCACGCGCGCUACACUGAUACGUUCAUCGAGCUUACAACCUUGUCUGAGAGGACUGGGUAAUCCUUUCAAAGCGUAUCGUGAUGGGGAUUGUUCAUUGUAAUUAUUGAACAUCAACGAGGAAUUCCUAGUAAACGCGAGUCAUCAGCUCGCAUUGAUUACGUCCCUGCCCUUUGUACACACCGCCCGUCGCUGCUACCGAUUGAAUGGAAGGGCGACACGCGAUUGCAGUCAAUACUGACG